CGCAGAAUGAGCGGGAACGGUUUCCGCGGUUCACCCCAGGAAGUCAAGGAGGAAAGCCCGGUGCAAGUCCGGCACUGUCCCGCAGCUGUGAGGGAGCCCGGCUCCCGAGUCAGAACGCUCGCCGUUCCACCUGUUCCUUU
rnacentral:ncRNA from 2 species